rnacentral:rRNA from 1 species
AGUGGCGGACGGGUGAGUAACGAGUGAGAACGUACCCUCUAGUGAGGAAUAACUCCGGGAAAUCGGGGCUAAUACCGCAUGAGACCGUGAGGUGAAAGGGUGUAACUACCCGCUAGAGGAGCGGCUCGCUUCCCAUCAGCUUGUUGGUAAGGUAAUGGCUUACCAAGGCUACGACGGGUAGCUGGACUGAGAGGUUGACCAGCCACAAGAGCACUGAGACACGGGCUCUACUCCUACGGGAGGCAGCAACCGGGAAUAGUAGACAAUGGGCGAAAGCCUGAUCUCGCGACGUCGCGUGGAGGAUGAAGGCCUUCGGGUUGUAAACUCCUUUUAUUAGGGAAUAAGCUUCGAUUUAUCGAGGUUGACUGUACCUAUUGAAUAAGCCGCUGCUAACUACGUGCCAGCAGCCGCGGUGAUACGUAGGCGGCAAGCGUUACCCGGAAUUACUGGGCGUAAAGAGUGCGUAGGUGGUAAGGUAAGUUUUCGUUAAAAUACAUAGGCUUAACCUGUGGACCGCGAAAAUACUGCAUUACUUGAGAAAGUCAGGGGGUACCGGAACAGAUGGUGGAGUAGUGAAAUGCGUUGAUAUCAUCUGGAACACCCAAGGCGAAGGCAGGUACCUGGGGCUUUUCUGACACUGAUGCACGAAAGCGUGGGGAGCGAAGCGGAUUAGAUACCCGCGUAGUCCACGCCGUAAACGUUGGACACUA